UGGUGAACAGCACCAUUUAUAGUUGUAUCAUUCCUUUGCAUGCUUUAUUUGGUGAUACAUACUAUGGAGGAAAAGAGGCAAUAAUUCAAGAGGUAUCUGAGCCUAGAUGCCUCACAAUAGCACAGUAAAAAUACCUAUCUGAAAUACUCGUCCUCCCCUGAGUUCUCUGGAUUUCUGAUGAGGUGCAGAAUCUGGAUGCGAAUGUCUGGAGCCCACUCACUUGAUGGCAGUCUUCAAAAUAAGAUUUCCACUUCGACUGCCAAGACUUUAAGGACACUUAGAACUGAGGGAAUAAGGUUUGGUGACUGGUGUUACCAAUGAUGCGAUGGAUUUUGAAGAUACAUGAAUACAGGGUGAACAGGAAGAAAUGUGCCAAGAGGAACAUCAAGCAAACCCUUGUCAUGACCACCUUCCAUCUGGAAAUCUGUGUCCUUGGUGUGAAAGACCGCAUGGA